rfam:Bordetella sp. SCN 67-23 ABS43_C0030, whole genome shotgun sequence.
GGGGCCGUACCGGUUUCGACGGGGGUCGCGAAGCAGCACAGGGCAUGUCGAGCACCAGUAAGCUCGUUAAACCACUGGAACGCAAAUAAACGCCACUAACGACGAGCGUUUCGCUCUCGCCGCUUAAGCGGUGAGCCGCUGCACCGAUCUGUCCUUGGGUCGGGCGGAGGAAGGGCAACUUUCCUAAGGAUCCCUGUCUAGGGCCAUAACCCCCGAAGCAGCUGAUUCUGAACCGCAGCAGUGUCAUUCUCAAGGAAUCGGUAUGAACUGGGGUCACACGGUUCAUGCUUAAACUACGUGAAUCGCUGUGUGCCGGCCUGUCGAUUGGCUAAGUACACAGUUAAAUCCAAAUAGAUCGACUACACAUGUAGAACUGUCUGUAGAGGGCUUCCGGACGCGGGUUCAAUUCCCGCCGGCUCCACCA